GAUGAACGCUGGCGGCGUGCCUAAUACAUGCAAGUCGAGCGAAUGGAUUAAGAGCUUGCUCUUAUGAAGUUAGCGGCGGACGGGUGAGUAACACGUGGGUAACCUGCCCAUAAGACUGGGAUAACUCCGGGAAACCGGGGCUAAUACCGGAUAACAUUUUGAACCGCAUGGUUCGAAAUUGAAAGGCGGCUUCGGCUGUCACUUAUGGAUGGACCCGCGUCGCAUUAGGUAGUUGGUGAGGUAACGGCUCACCAAGGCAACGAUGCGUAGCCGACCUGAGAGGGUGAUCGGCCACACUGGGACUGAGACACGGCCCAGACUCCUACGGGAAGCAGCAGUAGGGAAUCUUCCGCAAUGGACGAAAGUCUGACGGAGCAACGCCGCGUGAGUGAUGAAGGCUUUCGGGUCGUAAAACUCUGUUGUUAGGGAAGAAGAAGUGCUAGUUGAAUAAGCUGGCACCUUGACGGUACCUAACCAGAAAGCCACGGCUAACUACGUGCCAGCCGCCGCGGUAA
rnacentral:rRNA from 1 species